UUUGCUUUGCGUGCAGGCGGACGCAGGGGUUUGACCCCUUCAGUGGCCUUGUUGACCUCGCUGUAUAAGCUACAAGACCACAUUUGCUAAUAGCCACCGAUAUUGACUCAGCCAUUUUUUUUUUUCAUGCCCUCCUCCCUUGGCCGAGGUUCAGGGGAGUGUGAGGAACCUGAACCGGAACCCGAUCUGACGAUUAUGUGUGCGAGAGCCAUCAGGAGCAGCAGGAGGAGGCCGUGAAGAGGAGGACAGUCACGGGGCAGAAGAUAAUGCUUCUGUCCACUUCAUCACAACGACAUCACAGAACAGACACACACUCACAACCACCUUUUCACGCACACCUGCCUUAACUGAUUGUUAAAUAUCCACUCAGCCAAUCACAUGGCGGCAACCAAGGUGACUUUGAACAUUUGUUGGUGCCAAGUAUCUCACAAACCUCUGAUCUACUGAGAUGUUGGCGCACAACCAUCUGUAGUUUUUCCUCACUCGAUGUGAGGGUCUAAGGAUAGAGGGUGUCCCUUGCUGUACAGGCUGUAAAGCCUUUGGGAGGCAAAUUGUGUUCCUUGACUUGACUUGACUUGGUGUCGCUCUCUUGCCUUUGCAGCAAGAAGACUCAGGUUCACGACCCGGUCAAAACAAGGGCCUUCCUGCAUGGAGUUUGCAUGUUCUCCACGUGUGUGCGUGGGUUUUCUCCGGGUUCUCCGGUUUCCUGCCACAGUCCAAAAACAUGCGACAUCGGGACUAGCUGAGACGAAUCCUCCUUUCAUCCUCUGCUGCAGCGAGGCCCUGGUGUCUGUUCGCACAAAGCCUGACCAUCCCUGACUCCUCGUCAACCCCUUUGCCCAAUUCAUCAAGCGGAGGCCCAUGGGCAUUCAUCACCCCCACCACCUUUCAUAUCCCGCACCAGCUGAAAGCCACUGUCCCUCCUCUGACUUCAAUGCAGCCGUGACACACCCGCAAGAUUUAUAGUGGCAUAAUUAGUAGCAGUGAAAAAGGCCUGCAUGCUUUGGAGGGUCAAUCAUACUGUAUCCCAGUCAGAGGAGCCCUGAAAGACACUCACAUCUGCUUCAGAAUAGAUUGCGCCGCCAUCACAAAAGUUGAUUAAUUGGCCAAAAAACAAGGAGCCCGAGAAAUUCAUCACAGGCCGACAGUGACGCGAGGACAAUCGUACACACUUUGUGUAAUUUAAACACACUGUUCGUCGUCACCAUUCAUUGGAAGUGAGACACCAUCAUAAAUCCCAUCUUUGCACCGCGACACUGCUGCUGCUGCUGCUGCUGCUGGUGGUGAUGAGCAGCUCAUAGUGCCCCCUCAGGACGGGGGUUUCCAAAAACAGCUUGAAGGAGGUUAAAAAUAACAUGCCUAAUAGUUAAAGUGUGUUAUUGAUGUAAUCACACCCGCCCCCUCCUCAUCCUGCUGUCAGUAAUAUCUCAAGAACAGUGAACUAAUUAAAAAACACUUCUGGGGUUUGUUUUCAUUUCACAAAUAAAGUCUUCACUAAACA